ensembl:snRNA U6 U6 spliceosomal RNA
ACCCUUGUUGAUUGUGACAGUGUAUAUGGUAAAAUUGGAAUGAUCCAGAGAAGCGUGGAAUAGCCUCUGCACAAGGAUGACAGGUAAGUUUGUGAUGUGUUCCAUGCAUUU